rnacentral:rRNA from 1 species
UAGACCAUGGUGGAGACGCGGCACACAGCUCAUUAACACGUGGCUAACCUGCCCUUGGGACAGGAACACCCCCGGGAAACUGGGACUAAUUCUUGAUAGGUGAGGACUCCUGGAAUGGAUCUUCGCUCAAAAGCCGCUUAGACCAUGUUUCUAGGCGUUGCCCAAGGAUGGGGCCGCGGCCGAUCAGGCUGUUGGUGAGGUAAAGGCUCACCAAACCUUUAACCGGUACGGGCCGUGGGAGCGGGAGCCCGGAGAUGGGCACUGAGACAAGGGCCCAGGCCCUAUGGGGCGCAGCAGUCGCGAAAACUCCGCAAUACACGAAAGUGUGACGGGGUCAUCCCGAGUGCCGUCUGCUGAGGAUGGCUUUUCCCUAGUGUAGAUAGCUGGGGGAAUAAGGAGAGGGCAAGUCUGGUGUCAGCCGCCGCGGUAAUACCAGCUCUCCGAGUGGUGGGGACGCUUAUUGGGCCUAAAGCAUCCGUAGCCGGCUGGGCAAGUCCUCUGUUAAAUCCAGCGAUUUAAUCGUUGGCCUGCGGGGGAUACUGCUCGGCUUGGGGACGAGAGAGGCCGACGGUAUUCUCGGGGUAGGGGUGAAAUCCUAUAAUCCCGGGAAGACCACCAGUGGCGAAGGCUGUCGGCUAGAGCGGGCUCGACGGUGAGGGAUGAAAGCUGGGGGGAGCGAACCGGAUUAGAUACCCGGGUAGUC